rnacentral:lncRNA from 1 species
UCCUGACCUCGUGAUCCGCCUGCCUCGGCCUCCCAAAGUGCCGGGAUUACAGGUGUGAGCCACCGUGCCCGGCCAGAGGAUGAUUUUUAAGCCCUUUAUGACAGACUGAGAAUUUCUAAAAGAACUGACCUUCCUCCUGGAGAGAAAGAAUUUUCCCUCCGGGGAAGUUCUGAAGCACCUGUCAGGGUCCGCCCUCUGGGGCAAGAGGCUUUCUACCAGAGCCAGCAGCCCUGGCUGGCACUUGGCAGGUGUCACCAGCCAUCAGGUGGGGGCACCUCUAACUGAGCAGCCAAGACAAAGGGCCCCAGUACCCAGCAAGAGGUUGGGGGGCCCAGUGCAGAGACUGAGCUAGGGGAGAAACAUGAACCCACAGCAAGGCUAGAGGAAGCAAGGGAGAGAAUGGGGACAGGCCUCCAGCCAGGAGGAGGGAGGAGAGAAUUCUGCCCAGUGUGCAGGCUCCACAGCUGUCCUGAGAGAUCCUGGGAAAGUCUCACCCACAGAGCAGGCAGUCUGAGUGGAGCAGCCACUGACCAGGGAUAUUCAAUUUGGGCAGAGCCUAGUUCCCCUCUUCUUUGUGGGGACACAGACUUGUUGGGAAGAAAACUGUGGAAGAACAAUGCUUGAAGAAUAAUAAUUUAUUUUUUUUUCCUCAAGUAUUUUCCUCUUUCAUUGCUUCCCUUCAUUGUGAGAGGACAGAAAGUAAAAUACCUGUAUAUCUGUCACGUGCUUUUUUUUUUUUUUUUUUUUUUUUUGCUUCUUUGCAUCCGAAGGUUUUACCCAUGCAGGAGUUAAUGCUGGAUACCUCAGAGAAAAGAGCACUAUUUAUAGAGAAAGGCUUUCUCCCUGCAAGUAGUUGGUUGGAGGGUUGGUAGGUGAAUCGUGAGACAAGGAACAUAAAGACAGCUGGAUGUUGGUAUGUUCCCAAGAGGUAACUGUGCCCCAUUCCUAGGUGAGAGUCCAGAGGGGACAGCAAGAACCCAGAGAGGGGACAUCUGUGUGAUGGGUCCAGAGAGUCAUUGCCACAAACAGCACCCCCACAGGACACAGAAGCAGUCAAAUGACUGAUUCCUGGGUCCUCAAGCCUGACUCAGAGUUGGUCACGAUGGCUGAUGCAGCCUUCUCAGUGGGGACAUAUGUGAACUGAAGAAUGUGGACCACACAGAUGAUAGACACCUCAGGGACACCUGAGGACUGGGACUCAGGGCCAGAUGGGACCUUCUUUAACCCCUUGGCACAACAACUGGAGCUCAGCUGCAAACCCCAGAGACAGGGAGGACCCCAAGUGCUGGGAUUACAAAGUGCUACCAUGCCCAGCCAAGAGUUUUAAAAGGGAACUCGCAAAGCCCCAGCAGAAUGGAGGUUCACAAUAAAAGUUAAUGUUUUUCACCUGUGGCCCAUCUGCAGUUUUUUUUUUUUUUUUUUUUUUUUUUGUUUUUUUGUUUUUUUGUUUUUUUGUUUUUUUGUUUUUUUUUGACUCGAUGUAUACUUGUUAUGGGCACCUUAAGGAGAAAGGAGGGCUGAGCCACCAGAUCCCAGAACAUUUCUGCAGGCUGUGACUGUGGUCAUACAGGCCACAGAUGAGACAGAAUCAGAGUGUUUGUCCUUUCUGCAUGCCACCUGCAUAAAAAUGCUCACACUGAGGAUCAGCCCUCAAGGAGGAGGCCCAAGGUCAUACCCUUCAUUGUACCAUCCCUGAUGCUGUCCUUACAGUGGUGGUGUGCUGGCACCCAGCUCCAUCACUAGACAGAGUUGACUGCAGCUAAGGGAUGUGGGAGCCCAGGGCUGAGGAGCACCUGGCUCCUGCAUGACUGAUAUGGUUUGGGUGUGUCCCCACCCAAAUCUUAUCUUGAAUUUUAACUGCCACAAUUCUCAUCUGUGGUAGGAGGAACCCGUUGGAAGGUGAUUGAAUUAUGUGGGUGGGUCUUUCCUGUGCUGUUCUUGUGAUAGUGAAUGAGUCUCACGAGAUCUGAUGGUUUUAAAAAGGGGAGUUUCCCUGCACAAGCUCUCUUCUCUUUGCCUGCUGCCAUCCACGUAAGAUGUGACUUGCUCCUCCUUGAAUUCUGCCAUGAUUGUGAGGCCUCACCAGCCACAUGGAACUGUAAGUCCAUUAAACCUCUUUUUCUUUCCCAGUCUUGGGUUUGUCUUUAUUAGCAGCGUGAAAAUGAACUAAUACAAUAUCCUUCCACUGUAACGU